GACGAACGCUGGCGGCGUGCCUAAUACAUGCAAGUGGAACGCAUUUUAAUCACCGUAGCUUGCUACACCGAAUAAAAUGAGUCGCGAACGGGUGAGUAACGCGUAGGUAACCUACCUUCUAGCGGGGGACAACUAUUGGAAACGAUAGCUAAUACCGCAUAAGACAUUAUAUCGCAUGAUAGGAUGUUAAAAGAUACAAUUGUAUCACUAGGAGAUGGACCUGCGUUGUAUUAGCUAGUUGGUGAGGUAACGGCUCACCAAGGCAGCGAUACAUAGCCGACCUGAGAGGGUGAUCGGCCACACUGGGACUGAGACACGGCCCAGACUCCUACGGGAGGCAGCAGUAGGGAAUCUUCGGCAAUGGGGGCAACCCUGACCGAGCAACGCCGCGUGAGUGAAGAAGGUUUUCGGAUCGUAAAGCUCUGUUGUAAGCGAAGAAGAGUGUUAGGAGUGGAAAAUCUAACACAUGACGGUAGCUUACCAGAAAGGGACGGCUAACUACGUGCCAGCAGCCGCGGUAAUACGUAGGUCUCGAGCGUUGUCCGGAUUUAUUGGGCGUAAAGCGAGCGCAGGCGGUUAGAUAAGUCAGAAGUUAAAGGCUGUGGCUCAACCAUAGUAUGCUUUUGAAACUGUUUAACUUGAGUGCAGAAGGGGAGAGUGGAAUUCCAUGUGUAGCGGUGAAAUGCGUAGAUAUAUGGAGGAACACCGGUGGCGAAAGCGGCUCUCUGGUCUGUGACUGACGCUGAGGCUCGAAAGCGUGGGUAGCGAACAGGAUUAGAUACCCUGGUAGUCCACGCCGUAAACGAUGAGUGCUAGGUGUUAGACCCUUUCCGGGGUUUAGUGCCGUAGCUAACGCAUUAAGCACUCCGCCCUGGGGGAGUACGACCGCAAGGUUGAAACUCAAAGGAAUUGACGGGGGCCCGCACAAGCGGGUGGAGCAUGUGGUUUAAUUCGAAGCAACGCGAAGAACCUUACCAGGUCUUGACAUCCCUCUGACCGGUCUAGAGAUAGGCUUUCCCUUUUGGGCAGAGGAGACAGGUGGUGCAUGGUUGUCGUCAGCUCGUGUCGUGAGAUGUUGGGUUAAGUCCCGCAACGAGCGCAACCCUUAUUGUUAGUUGCCAUCAUUGAGUUGGGCACUCUAGCGAGACUGCCGGUAAUAAACCGGAGGAAGGUGGGGAUGACGUCAAAUCAUCAUGCCCCUUAUGACCUGGGCUACACACGUGCUACAAUGGUUGGUACAACGAGUCGCAAGCCGGUGACGGCAAGCUAAUCUCUUAAAGCCAAUCUCAGUUCGGAUUGUAGGCUGCAACUCGCCUACAUGAAGUCGGAAUCGCUAGUAAUCGCGGAUCAGCACGCCGCGGUGAAUACGUUCCCGGGCCU
rnacentral:rRNA from 1 species